rnacentral:ncRNA from 2 species
CUCUUAUCCUGAGCUGGUGGAGGGACUGGCCCGAUGAAACCCAGCAACCUACUAUGUGAAGAAAAUUACUGAAUCAUUCAUGUUUACAUGUAAUGGGACAGACAUUCUCUUAGGAAAGGUGCUAACCUGAAGCAAGGAAAUUCUUCCUUGAACGAUAAGAG